rnacentral:rRNA from 1 species
AUACGGAGGAUGCGAGCGUUAUCCGGAUUUAUUGGGUUUAAAGGGUGCGUAGGCGGCCUUGUAAGUCAGCGGUGAAAUUUUGCAGCUUAACUGUAAAAGUGCCGUUGAUACUGUGAGGCUAGGAUUUGGUUGCUGUGGGUGGAAUGUGCGGUGUAGCGGUGAAAUGCUUAGAGAUCACACAGAAUAUCGAUUGCGAAGGCAGCUCACAAAGCCAAGGAUGACGCUGAGGCACGAAAGUGUGGGGAACAAACAGGAGUAGAUACCCUAGUAGUUCGCGCUGUAGACGAUGAUAACUAUCCGCUGGGUCUUAGUAAUUCAGUGUCCAAGCGAAAGCGAUAAGUGAUCCGCCUGGGGAGUACGACCGCAAGAUUGAAACUCAAAUGAAUUGACGGGG